ensembl:lncRNA
AGGGAAAGUGAUAGAAGCAAAGCACAGUUGCUCACAUUUGCAGUGUCACAGGGGUCAGACUGCUUCUGGCCGAGUGCCAGAUCCUGCACUUUGGCCACAACAACCCCAUGCAGUGCUACAGGUUUGGGGCAGAGCGGCUGGAAAGCUGUAUAGAGGAAAAGGAUCUGGGGGUGUUAGUGGAUAGCUGAGUGAACGAGAGCCAGCAGUGUGCCCAGCUGGCCAAGAGGGCCAAUGGCAUCCUGUCUUGUAUCAGAAACAGUGUAGCCGGCAGGAACAGGGAGGUGAUCCUCCCUCUGUGCUCAGCAAUGGUGAGGCUGCACCUCGAGUACUGUGUUGAGUUUUGGCUCUGGACCAUGUUCAGAGAAGGGCAAUGAAGCUGUGAAGGGUCUGGAGCACAGUUCUUAUGGAGAGAGGCUGAGGGAGCUGGGAUUGUUCAGUGUGGAGAAGAGGAGGUUCAGGAAGACCUUAUAUCUCUUCAACUGCCUGAAAGGAGGUUGGGGCAAGAACUUUGUCUGAGUUGGCUUCACCCUACCCAACGUCAGCACUCUGCUGGUGGGUGUCUCACCCCGCUGCCGUCAGUGCAGAAGGAUACGUUGCUGAGGGAUGCCCACCCUGCUUACAGUCACAGAACGACAGAAUACCCCCAGUUGGGAGGGACUCACGGGGAUUACCGAAUCCAACUCCUCGCUCCACACAGCACCACUCAAACCGUAUGUCUGAGAGCACUGUCCAAACCUUUCUUGAAGUCUGCCUUGUCUCAGAGCUCCAACGUAUGAGGGGUUAGCUCGCUGUAAGGUGCCCAUUUCUCUUUUAGGACUCAAGGUCUGGGCAAAUUUAAAGACACCCCAAAAUCAGGCAUCUUGGGCAGGUCAGUCCCCGCAGCCCCAUCCUGAGAGAAGUUGUCGUGUGCCAUUCAGCAGGGGGCAGCCACCGUGGGUCAGAGCAGGAUCCCGUGGCACUGGUGGACUGUUUGCCGUGGUGUGUUGUUCAGGCACAGAAAUAUAACACGAUAAGAUUCAGG